rnacentral:rRNA from 1 species
AAUCUUCCGCAAUGGGCGCAAGCCUGACGGAGCAAUGCCGCGUGUGGGAUGAAGCGGCUACGCCGUGUAAACCACUGUCAGGUGGUAGAAACACUGAUCGCCACCAGAGGAAGAGCCGGCUAACCCUGUGCCAGCAGCCGCGGUAAGACAGGGGGCUCGAGCGUUAAUCGGAAUCACUGGGCUUAAAGGGUGCGUAGGCGGUUUCGCAAGCGUCCCGUGAAAUCCCCCGGCUCAACCGGGGAAUAGCGGGGCGAACUGCGAGGCUUGAGGCAUGUAGGGGUGGACGGAACUCUAGGUGGAGCGGUGAAAUGCGUAGAUAUCUAGAGGAACGCCGAUGGUGAAGACGGUCCACUGGGCAUGUCCUGACGCUGAGGCACGAAAGCGUGGGGAGCAAACAGG